GUUUCAGCCGCCGCGGUAAUACGGGGGGGGCAAGCGUUGUUCGGAAUUACUGGGCGUAAAGGGUUCGUAGGUGGCCGACUAAGUCAGACGUGAAAUCCCUCAGCUUAACUGGGGAACUGCGUCUGAUACUGGUUGGCUUGAGGACAGGAGAGGAACGCGGAAUUCCAGGUGUAGCGGUGAAAUGCGUAGAUAUCUGGAGGAACACCGGUGGCGAAGGCGGCGUUCUGGACUGUUUCUGACACUGAGGAACGAAAGCCAGGGGAGCAAACGGGAUUAGAUACCCGAGUAGUCC
rnacentral:rRNA from 1 species